rnacentral:rRNA from 1 species
GACGAACGCUGGCGGCGUGCCUAAUACAUGCAAGUAGAACGCUGAAGAGAGGAGCUUGCUCUUCUUGGAAGAGUUGCGAACGGGUGAGUAACGCGUAGGUAACCUGCCUUGUAGCGGGGGAUAACUAUUGGAAACGAUAGCUAAUACCGCAUAACAAUGGGUGACCCAUGUCAUUCAUUUGAAAGGGGCAACUGCUCCACUACAAGGUGGACCUGCGUUGUAUUAGCUAGUAGGUGAGGUAACGGCUCACCUAGGCGACGAUACAUAGCCGACCUGAGAGGGUGAUCGGCCACACUGGGACUGAGACACGGCCCAGACUCCUACGGGAGGCAGCAGUAGGGAAUCUUCGGCAAUGGGGGCAACCCUGACCGAGCAACGCCGCGUGAGUGAAGAAGGUUUUCGGAUCGUAAAGCUCUGUUGUAAGUCAAGAACGAGUGUGAGAGUGGAAAGUUCACACUGUGACGGUAGCUUACCAGAAAGGGACGGCUAACUACGUGCCAGCAGCCGCGGUAAUACGUAGGUCCCGAGCGUUGUCCGGAUUUAUUGGGCGUAAAGCGAGCGCAGGCGGUUUGAUAAGUCUGAAGUUAAAGGCUGUGGCUCAACCAUAGUUCGCUUUGGAAACUGUCAAACUUGAGUGCAGAAGGGGAGAGUGGAAUUCCAUGUGUAGCGGUGAAAUGCGUAGAUAUAUGGAGGAACACCGGUGGCGAAAGCGGCUCUCUGGUCUGUAACUGACGCUGAGGCUCGAAAGCGUGGGGAGCGAACAGG